UACUCCUACGGGACGCAGCAGUGGGGGAUAUUGCACAAUGGGCGCAAGCCUGAUGCAGCGACGCCGCGUGAGCGAAGAAGUAUUUCGGUAUGUAAAGCUCUAUCAGCAGGGAAGAAAGUGACGGUACCUUAGGAAUAAGCCUCGGCUAACUACGUGCCAGCAGCCGCGGUAAUACGUAGGAGGCGAGCGUUAUCCGGAAUGACUGGGCGUAAAGGGUGCGUAGGUGGUUUGGCAAGUUAGUAGCGUAACUCCAAGGCUCAACCUUGGAACUACUACUAAAACUGUUGGACUUGAGUGCAGGAGGG
rnacentral:rRNA from 1 species